GCAUUCUUAGCUAAAAGGAUAAAGCAAUAACCUUCUAAGUUAUUUAUUAUAGGUUCAAGUCCUAUAGAAUGCU
rnacentral:tRNA from 1 species